rnacentral:rRNA from 1 species
UCGGGAAUUUUGGGCAAUGGGGGAAACCCUGACCCAGCAACGCCGCGUGAAGGAUGAAGUAUUUCGGUAUGUAAACUUCGAAAGAAUAGGAAGAAUAAAUGACGGUACUAUUUAUAAGGUCCCGCUAACUACGUGCCAGCAGCCGCGGUAAUACGUAGGGACCAAGCGUUGUUCGGAUUUACUGGGCGUAAAGGGCGCGUAGGCGGCAUGACAAGUCACUUGUGAAAUCUCUGGGCUUUAACCCAGAACGGCCAAGUGAUACUGUCGCGCUAGAGUGCAGAAGGGGCAAUCGGAAUUCUUGGUGUAGCGGUGAAAUGCGUAGAUAUCAAGAGGAACACCUGAGGUGAAGACGGGUUGCUGGGCUGACACUGACGCUGAGCGCGAAAGCCAGGGGAGCAAACGGGAUUAGAUACCCACGUAGUCCCUGAGCGGGCUGGCAAGGCGCAU